AUGUCGUCGUCCCACCCACCGCCUCCAUAUCGCCUCCUCCGACGCGACGGCCACCAAGCGGAAUUGACAGCCUCCAGCCAUCCAAGACUAGAAGUGAUUGUGCGUGCCCUGAUGCGCACAGCCACCAAGCGGAAUUUCCGGGAGCACGUACCAAGCGAAGACUCGAAAGUCAUCGUGCUAACUCUCCGAAGUUUCCGGGAAAUUUGGCCACACCAGGCUGUGUGGCCAUCCGGCGUAUGGGCAUGGAGACGACGAGCAGACGGGGCAGUGUAUAUAUUUGUCACGUAUCGACCUACAUAA
rnacentral:rRNA from 1 species